rnacentral:rRNA from 1 species
AAUCAGCGCUGGCGGCGUGCCUCAGACAUGCAAGUCGAACGAUUAAAGCUCUCUUCGGAGAGUGUAUAGAGUGGCGCACGGGUGAGUAACACGUAAGUAAUCUACCUUCGAGUGGGGAAUAACGUCCGGAACGGACGCUAAUACCGCAUAAUGCAGCGGCAUCGCAAGAUGACAGUUGUUAAAGAUUUAUCGCUUGAAGAGGAGCUUGCGGCAGAUUAGCUAGUUGGUAAGGUAAUGGCUUACCAAGGCUACGAUCUGUAACCGGUCUAAGAGGACGGUCGGUCACACUGACACUGAACAACGGGUCAGACUCCUACGGGAGGCAGCAGUCGGGAAUUUUGGGCAAUGGGCGAAAGCCUGACCCAGCAACGCCGCGUGAAGGAUGAAGUAUUUCGGUAUGUAAACUUCGAAAGAAUAGGAAGAAUAAAUGACGGUACUAUUUAUAAGGUCCGGCUAACUACGUGCCAGCAGCCGCUGU